AAGAUCAUUGACCAGAUCAAGGGUCAAUGAUGUACAAGUCAGUACAAGUCAUCUCAAACAUCAUCAUGAUUAUAAGUACAACAAGUACAGUCCUGGACCCAAUAAAUGGACUCGGAUCUUGGUACACAUGAUACUAAGAGGAUGGUCAACUUGACAUGAAAAUUAUAGAAGAUGACAAUUACGUAAAAUGAUAAAUAUUUGGUCUGCCUACAUGAGUAUUUGGUUUGCCUACAUGAUGGUUCAGAAGUUUUUCACUGGAAAUAGGAAUUCAGUUCUUCCAUGUAUAUAUAUUUGUAGAAAUUACUAUCAUUUUACUUGAAAAAUAGACGGAUACAGCAACGCACGCCCACCAUGAUAUAGUGUGCAAGUGCAACCCGCAGCUCAAGGAAUAAGGUCGAGUGGCACUCACACUUACUUGUGCUGAUUUUGCUGAAAUGUACUGCGUCAUGCAUGAGCAACUUCUAGUCUUUUGUCUUUAUAAUAUGUACUGGUGUACAUUUGUUUGUUUCAGUAGAUGUAUACACAAAUUUGGAGGCAGGCGAUGGUUUUCUUUAUUUGCCAAAAAUCUGCUUCUGCUGCAUUUUAAAAAAAUGGCCUGCAUUAUGAGAUCAUCCUUGGAUGAACUGCAUUUAAGUAUGUUACAAAUUUGAGAAGAUUAAUAAAUAGAAGGACAAAUGUUAAUAAGCCACAGGAGUAUACUCGAAGCAGUUGCGCACUUUGCCGCCACUUCUCAUGCCAGCAUUUCCUUCAGGCGUCAUGGUCAUGGUGCUCAAGUUCGUGGGCCGUCAACUUAAGAACCCACCAUAACCCUAAAAACAACACACAUCAAAAUCACACGACCCCACCACCAACCGUACAACCGCUUCUCAUACUGGCAUUUCCUUCCAGCGUCAUGGUCACGAUGCUCAAGUUCGUAGGCCAUCAACUUAAGAACCCACCGCUAACCCUAAAAACAACACACAUCAAAAUCACACGACCCCACUACCAACCGUACAACCGACAUGCAUAAAAGAUCUCACGUCGACAAAUAAAAUGACACAAAGAACAAAGCUAUCACGCCAAAACCAAAAGUACAACUUAGACAACCAUACCACUGAACAUAAUAGAUGUGUGUUUAGAUUGAGCUGCAACAAGCCCUAACCAAAAUUAUGGCAUGACUUGUAACUCUGUAGCACAUGAACUUGCCAAGCUGGGCGUUCAUUCUGAGUCUCGUGACUCCUCCUGAGAGACCACCGCCCCCAACUGCAUCAUAGAACUGUUAGCCAGUACGAAAAGUUUAAUGGAAUUUCCAUUUUCCCUGUCAAAAGAAAAAACUUCAGCAUGGCCAAAAUAUUGGGAAGCUUUGGUUGUUUGGAUCAUAACCUAGUACUUGCCAAUAUUUUGAACAAAACCGCAG
rnacentral:lncRNA from 1 species